rnacentral:rRNA from 1 species
CCUACGGGUGGCAGCAGUGGGGAAUAUUGGACAAUGGGCGAAAGCCUGAUCCAGCCAUGCCGCGUGUGUGAAGAAGGCCUUCGGGUUGUAAAGCACUUUUAGUGGGGAAGAAAGCCUUGGGGCUAAUACCCUCGAGGAAGGACAUCACCCACAGAAGAAGCACCGGCUAACUCCGUGCCAGCAGCCGCGGUAAUACGGAGGGUGCGAGCGUUAAUCGGAAUUACUGGGCGUAAAGCGCGCGCAGGCGGUCUGAUAAGCCGGUUGUGAAAGCCCCGGGCUCAACCUGGGAACGGCAUCCGGAACUGUCAGGCUAGAGUGCAGGAGAGGGAGGUAGAAUUCCAGGUGUAGCGGUGAAAUGCGUAGAGAUCGGGAGGAAUACCAGUGGCGAAGGCAGCCUUCUGGACUGACACUGACGCUGAGGUGCGAAAGCGUGGGUAGCAAACAGGAUUAGAUACCCGUGUAGUC